rnacentral:lncRNA from 1 species
AGAAAAGGGAAAGUAACAGAGACGUGACCGAUCACCCAAGCGGCUAACGAGCCAAUCAGUGGUGAAGAGGAUAAAAGUAAAAUAAGUUAAAUGUGCCUUGAUUAGUGACUCGGUUCAGCUGUGAUCUGGUCUUCAACCCCAUCCCUCACUACCCGUUACCUUUUAUGUAGGCCAACAAUUUUUUUUCUUCACUUUCCAGACGGUGAAAGUCCCAACUGAACAGCAGGAAAAGGAAGACAACGAGAAUGACUCACAGAGCCAAAGUCAUGAAUCUGAUGACGUCAUCUACCAGGUCAUCCCUCGCCAAGCACAGGGAGGCACCUAGACAUGGGGCUUCUUCCUGGAAGGUGCACGCUGGGAUCGUGAACAACAUUGCUUGGCGGAGAUGUCAGCCAAGCAGCUACAUGACCAGUUACCUAUCAUCCUUUUCCAACCUGCUGCCCUCCCAGACAUGUCACACCAUGAGGGUAUGUGCCCCCAACACACCUUCUCUUUACUCAUUCCUUUACCUUGCCCUACAUGUUCAAUUUAAUUUUCUUUAUCACUGAGUCAGACCAGGUAUUCUCAUCAAGGUGAUUUAACCAUAUCAUUGGUUAAGAUUUUAUGGGUACCUGAAAAUUGCUCCAUGUCAAAAGUAAUGAUAUGUCAGAAUACUAUUUACAAAAUGAAAUUUGGUUUAUGUACUUUAUAAUAAAACCUAGAUUUCAAACUAUUUGAAACUAUUGAAUGGAUAUAACCUAGAAUACAGUAGACAAUUUUUUUCUGCAAAUUGUUAAAUGACUGGAUUAUUUUUAUACACCAGUUAUUCCUGUUCUCAGUGGAUUUAAAUGUAAAUUAAGUGGUAUACGUAUAUGUUUUAGUUUAUAUCGGCAAAUAUAUCUUGGUGACAACUUUA